AUACGUAGGUGGCGAGCGUUGUCCGGAAUUACUGGGCGUAAAGGAUGCGUAGGUGGAUACUUAAGUGGGAUGUGAAAUCCCCGGGCUCAACCCGGGAACUGCAUUCCAAACUGGGUAUCUAGAGUGCAGGAGAGGAAAGCGGAAUUCCUAGUGUAGCGGUGAAAUGCGUAGAUAUUAGGAGGAACACCAGUGGCGAAGGCGGCUUGCGUGACGGUAACGGUAACUGAGGCAUGAAAUCGUGGUGUGCAAACAGGAUUGAAUACCCUGGUAGUCCACGCCGUAAACGAUGGUUACUAGGUGUAGGAGGUAUCGACCCCUUCUGUGCCGUCGUUAACACAAUAAGUACCCCGCCUGGGGAGUACGGUCUCAAGACUAAAACUCAAAUGAAUUGGCGGGG
rnacentral:rRNA from 1 species